CAAAAACAUUGCCCUUUGAGAAAUGCGUAAAAGGUAAGGUCUGCUCCCUGAUUCAAUUUAAGAGCCGCGGUACCUUGACCGUGCGAAGGUAGCAUAAUCAUUAGUCUUUUAAUUGAUGGCUGGAAUGAACGAUUCAAUGAGGUUUAAGCUGUCUCGAAUAAAACAUUGAAUUUUAUUUUUCUGUAAAAAAGCAGGGAUAAUUUUAUUAGACGAGAAGACCCUAUAGAUUUUUAUAGAAAAUUUAAGUUUCAAGGUAAGGAAAAAAUACCAUUGGGGGUUAAAAAUUUUAUUUGGUUGGGGCGACAGGAGAAGAAAAAAAGCUUUUCUUUUUAUACAAUACCAAUACGUAAGUCUAGGAUCCAUGUUUGGUUGAAAAAAAGAAAAAAAUACCUUAGGGAUAACAGCGUAAUUUUUUUUGAGAGUUCGUAUCGACAGAAAAGAUUGCGACCUCGAUGUUGGAUUAAGAGUAACCUUGGGUGCAGAAGUUCAAGGAUAAGGUCUGUUCGACCUAUGGAAUCUUACGUGAUCUGAU
rnacentral:rRNA from 1 species